rnacentral:rRNA from 1 species
UACAGAGAGAGCAAGCGUUACUCAUCCUAACUGGGCAUAAAGGGUGCGUAGACGGAUGUUUGGGAAGACUAUAUCUAUAAUUACUGCGUUUGGUAGGCAUGUAUAGUACCCAAUAUCUAAUGGGACAUGAGAAGGUCAUUAGUAUGUGAUAGGGCAUUGGUUUGAGAAACUAUCGAUCUAUCAAGGACUACCUACCGCGAAGGCAUUUGACCGAUCAUGAUCCGACGUUGAGGCACGAAAGCAUGGGGAGCAAAAGGG